AGUGUGACUACUCAGAGUAUCUUUACCGUGAAGGGGUCAACAGUGGAUCUAUCCUGCACUUACACAUAUCCCAGAGGUCAUACAGUCAUAAAAGCAUCAUGGUCCUAUAGAUGGUCUGGUGUGAAACCUGAGAAUGGUGCUAUUUCAUUUCAAGAUGCUCUAUAUAAUAACAUGUAUUCAUAUCCUCCACCUUGUUGUUGAACCUUUAGGGAAACAGACCUCAGUUAUGUGAAGUGUAGAAGUGUUCAGCUGUAGGAAUCACAGAUUCUCAUACUCCAUCUCUCUGGAUUCAUGUGAUUCAGGUGAGAAUCUAAGACUUUCACUUCACGUUAUCAUUUUGAUUUAAUAACUUGAUUCUUUAUUCAUUCACGUAUAAAACAGAAAGAAGGCCUCCAAAUCCAACUCUGACAUAAGAGACACAGCAGACGGCCGACAGGACUCAGAGUGCCCUUCCUGCGGAAGGAAAUGUCGACUCCCGGAACACUUAAAACAAAGUAACUGUACUACUGUAGCCAACACUCUUAUUUUCUAAGACAAGCGAAGAAACGCGUAGUUUCCACAAUGGAUCCGGCAAAUAUACUUGUAUGGGAGUCCAGACGGCAGCAUUAACAUUGGCCUUGUAUUUGCAUCCAUUCCUUGCAGUCAUUACUAGAGACAACCGGCAGAAUUGUGUCCAGAGCCUUGUCUCCCACCUACACCUUACAAGAACACAAUGCAGAACGGUACCGGUGCCGAGCCGGUUACAUUGGUGCCGUGAUCCAGAUCAACGUGGAUCAUUAUGAAUCGUCGUUGAUCAACACCAGCUUGGUCACCGGGAGUUGCUAUGCUAUAAAUAGGUUGGAAGUGAAAUCUCUUAAACACACCAAAAAAUAGCUAAUGGUUUGUUUGGUAUAUCUCUUAGAUUAACUGAUACAUUUGAAAUUGUUGUUACAUAUAUUCCAUUUUAUUUGUGUAUUUUGAUAGUGAAUAUGACUUCAAGUUGAAGUCCGACGUUUACGUACACUUAGGUUGGAGUCAUUAAAACUCGUCUUUCAACCACUCCACAAAUUUCUUGUUAACAAACUAUAGUUUUGGCAAGUCUGUUAGGACAUCUACUUUGUGCAUGACAAGUCAUUUUU